ACAGCCCUAUCUUCCCAGCAUUUGCUGAGCUUCCCAAAUGUAAGUGUUUUCUCCUUUGUGCAUUCACUGUACAUUAUUCACUUCCCUUGCAGAACUAGUGGAUGGUAUUUUUCUGUCCUUGCCUGUUUUCAUGCAUCUCUACCGCUACUAGCAUAUAGAACAGACUCUGUCUUUUAUUUAUAUUUCCAGCUCUUCCCCGGAUCGUGGCUAUGACUUGACAGAUACAGUAUGUGCUUGUCUUUUUGAGUGGGUGAGUGCAUGACCAAAUGAAUUAAUGUGAUAUUUUUCUGAAGUUGGGUUUUUGUUUUGUGCUGUUUUUCUAGGAAGGAACAGCAAAGUCAGCAAUGGAAGCAAAGGAAGGUGGUGUUGGUAUUAUUGAAAAUGUGCCACCAGAGUAAACAGUUAAUGACAGUUGGACUUCUGCUGGUGGAGUGCAUAAAAAUUACAGAAGUGAUAUGAUGUCAGCAUUAGAAUUAGGAGAAGAGGAAGAUGUGGAAUCACCUUCUCUUCCUGAGUAUCAAGUUCCAUUAAAGGUUGAAGAAAAAAAGAAGCACAGAGGAAGUGACAUGGAAGUAUCAGAAAACAUACAUGAUGCUGCGGCUGCUGGAUUAAUUCCACAAAGACAGAAUGGAAAAACUGAUAACCAUCAAAUGCCUAUUACAGAAAUAAGGAUUCUGAUAGGUAAGACUAUAGCAAUACUUAAGUAGUAGGUAAUUGUUAUUUUCCUAUUCAACAAACUUUUCUAGUUUGAGCUAAUGUUCAUGAUGAACAAAUUUCGUAUUUUUCGUGGAGAUAUUUUAUCCUACGUGCUAAUGAGAAAAAUGUAAAUACCAAUGAGAUACCAUUUUUUGCAGUCAUAGUGAUAAAUAUUUUAUUAAAAAAAUAACCAAAGUGAGGAAAUGUGAGCAAAAUGACAUUCUUAGACACUGUGGCUGGAUGUAAUUGGUGACUCCUUUCUGAAAGGUGAUUUAGCAGUGUAUUUCAAAAUUUCAAAUAUAUCGGGGCACCUGGGUGGCUCAGUUGGUUAAGCGUCCAACUUUGGCUCAGGUCAUGAUCUUGCACUUCACGAG